CUUACAUGGGAAAACCACGCUGGACCACUGCUCUCUGGUUUCCAAGAGAAAACAUUAAAACCAGGACUUGUAUACCGGCCACAAAAUAGGUACUCUCAAAAUAUCUGCAACCAGAUGGACUGCGUUUAAUAUGCACACAGCCUGUAAAAUAGUCAUCAUUAU
rnacentral:lncRNA from 1 species